CUUCCUCUCCAUUGACCAACAUGGAGCCAUCAUGAAGUUCUUGGCUGGCCUCUUCACUGCAGUGCAGCUGAUCUGGUCCAUGAUGGCUCUGGAUGAGGUCCAGGCUGAGGUUUCAGCCCAGGGCAAGAGGCUCUUUUUUGCUGGAGGAGACUCUUGAGAGUCCCAUGGACUGCAAGAAGAUCAAACCUAUCCAUUUUGAAGGAAAUCAGCCCUGAGUGCUCACUGGAAGCACAGAUCCUGAAGCUGAGGCUCCAAUACUCUGGCCACCUCAUGAGAAGAGAAGACCCCCUGGAAAAGACCCUGAUGCUGGGAAAGAUGGAGGGCAGAAGGAGAAGGGGACAACAGAGGAUGAGAUGGUUGGACAGUGUUCUCGAAGCUACCAACAUGAGUUUGACCAAACUGCGGGAGGCAGUGGAAGACAGGAGUGCCUGGCGUGCUCUGGUCCAUGGGGUCACGAAGAGUCGGACACGACUAAAUGACUAAACAACAACAACAACACAUUAUGUAAAGGCUAUAUUUAAAGAAACAAACACUUUCUUUUGUCUUUGGGAAGUUCUAUAUAAUUGCAUACAGAGUUAUAUGAACUGAAUAUCUGAGUCAUGACAGCCUCAUAACAGAUUAGGGCCCCAGCAAACUAUGAAACUGGCCGCGUGGAAAAGGUACAGGAUGUCCCCAUUAAUGUACUUCCUACUCCAUAGCCAACAAUGACUUACGACCCAAGCCACGUCUGAUAAAACAUACCAGCUGAGUGGUUGGGCACCAACCCAGAUUCUUCCUUCCUCAUGGAGGAAAGGGUAUAUAAAGAGAACUGGUGCCAUUACCCGGGAUAGAAAAGACUGAAAGAGAAGCUCUUCCACUCCAUUGACUAGCGUUGAGCCAUCAUGAAGUUCUCCACCACCCUCUUUGUUGCCGUGCUGCUGAUCUGGUCUGUGAUAGCUCUGGAUGAGGUCCAGGCUGAGGAUUCGGCCCAGGGCAAGACAGGGGCAUUGAACGAUGGGAUUCAUGCAAUCAGGAAACGUGCCUCAAGCAGUGGCAAAAAGGGAGCGGCUAAAGGGCCUAAACCGGGCACAAAUCGUCCUAAACCAGACCCCAAGAUAGGUAUAAAUUGACAACUUGUCAAAUAUGACCUUCCUGCCUGCUGCUGGCCCUCCUUGGGGCACCUCCACUUCUGCAACCAGACACUGAGAUGCUCCGGUUCAUUUUGAUCUAACCUCCAACGCCUGCCUCCCCCCAAAGAUGUCCAAAGGUUCAGCACAUGGUCUUCAAUCAUCUGCCCAUCACUGUUGGUUUCUCUCCAUGCAGAAGGACCCCAGCAUUGGGGCAUCAAUUGCAAUGGUCCAAUAAAAAAA